rnacentral:rRNA from 1 species
AGAUUGAACGCUGGCGGCAUGCCUUACACAUGCAAGUCGAACGGCAGCACGGGAGCAAUCCUGGUGGCGAGUGGCGAACGGGUGAGUAAUACAUCGGAACGUGCCCAGUCGGUGGGGGAUAGCCCGGCGAAAGCCGGAUUAAUACCGCAUACGACCUACGGGUGAAAGGCGGGGGAUCCGCAAGACCUCGCGCGAUUGGAGCGGCCGAGUGGCAGA